GGAAGCGAUUGGCGGGCUGGUGCCCCCCUCGGUCUUCAAAAUCGCUGGGCCGUCCGUAAAGCGUGCGGCCGGUGGGUUCGAUUCCCAUUCGCUUCCGCCA
rnacentral:tRNA from 1 species